UUCAAUUGAAGGGUGGAUAUACUACUCACAGCACUGUAGAAUUGUGUGAGCUUCAUCAGGUUUUCAUUCAUCAGGUUUUCAUUCAUAGGUUUUAAAAGCAGCAAAAAUGUUAGAAAGUGAAGAGAUCGUGGCAUCGGUGGUGACAGAUAUCAUGUCAGCCUUGAUAGAGAAAGUGGAGGAAAUUGAAGAAAAAAGAAAGGCGCAGGCCCUGGCCGCUGCAGAGUGGGCAGUCUCCUAUGCAAUAAAAAUGAUGCAGCUGGAGGAAGAGAAGAUGGCCCGCAACACUGCCGAAGAAGUUGAAAAACGGGCCGAGAACGUUGAGAAGAGGGCGGAGAGAAGACUGUUCUCCAGCAUGUUAAAGAUGACUUUGAAGCUGAAGAAGCCAAAGAUUGGAUCAUUGCUUCACCUGUUCAACAGAAACCGCAGCUCUGGCCAUGAGGAAACAGGUAGGUUCAUGAGGACAUGUAGGCCUAAUAAGCUAAAAUGUGAGAAAUUCCCAAAUGAAACGUCAGACAUCUCCUCUGCAUUAUCCAUGGGACAUGUAGGACAGGCAUAACCUAUAAUUUAACUCACAAGUAUGACUAUGUAUCAUUUGUCCUAUAAAGGCCCUGACAUGAAGAAGGAGAAUGUGGGAUGCUGGUCCUGUUUCAAAAUGCCAAAGUUGUCACUGAAGAUUUUCAGGAGGGGUACAAAAGUCGCACCCUGCAAGGUCGAGAGCCUGAACACCAUCAGGAAUGACCAAGGCUGUGAGUGAGGGGUGAGGCUGCACCUAGUUUGGCUGGAUGGAUGGAGAUGACGCUUCUCUGCUUUUCUGCUGCUUGACAUCAUCAAUUUUUUUUUAUCUUACAUUAUAUGUUUUCUUUUUUAAUAAUAAAAUAUAGGGUUUAUCUUCCCUAAACACUCCUAAUAAACAAAAACAAAAAACACAAAAAACAAAAAAAAAACUUUAAAUACUUCUUAAUAAACCAAACCUAU